AAAUGUUAAUGAUGAUUAUAAAAAUAGCAGCAACUAAUAGCAGGACAAUAUUUCUAUUCCUGACACUCCCACUCUUGACCUCUUGACCACAAGAGGUCACCAUACUGUGUGUUGGGUCACUCCUUGGCCCAUUCAGCUGCUCCCCUGUCCAUCCCAGACAUCAUGGACAUUUAGGAUCACUGUUCUUAGCUCUGACCCUCUCUUGGCAUCCUGUGACUUAACAAAUCAGACAACCUCAUGUCAUCUAGGUGGUCUUAGUUAUAAAAUGCCCGCUCCCACUUGAGAACACUUCAUGCUUAAGUGGUCUCUGCUCCUCUUCUGGGUCCCACUCUAGUGGAAAUCUGGCCACCUGCAAAGGAAACAAAACACUUUCUCCCUACUAUGCUCUAAGUUACUCUGUUCCUCGAUUGUUCUCAAAACAUGAACCUAAUUUCAUAUUUGGUUUUUGACUUUUAUUUUCAAAUCUUAAACAUCACUCAUCUCAAUCUACAGCUUUCUAACAGUCUUACAGCACUGCUGUCAUACGUUUCCUGUUUUUCCUUAUCUAAUCAUCAACAUCCUGUGCACAAAACUGUCCCUGCUGCUGCAAGUGCCUCUCAUCUAAAGUCACCUCUCACCAGCAAAAUCAUCAUAAAAUCAUUAUAACGGCUUAUUCUACUAAAAGGAUCAAAGAAAAAACAACCACUUUAAUCACUAAGUGUAAGCACCUAGUUAAUUGCUCCUAGAUAAACUUCAUCAUAGCUAAAAACUGAACUCUAACAGUAUUUUGAACUCCCAUUUUCUGGGUAAUAACCUGUUUGAAUAUAUCAUUUUAUUUCAUUUUGCUGCUUUUAAUGUAAUGGUACAUUCUAAUUAUAUUUUAUCAGUCAUUAUAUUUUAUCAGUUUUAACCAAAAUACAUAAGCUUUUCCCCCCUUGGACCUGGUUUAAAGCAAAAACUUGAUCCCUUCAACAAGUAUUUGUUAUCCUGUAACUGCAUUUUAUAUAAGAGGACUAAUUUAGAACUGCAUGUGUUAUCUCCAUAUUUUACAUGUCACCCAAUUUAGUUACAAGCAAAACUCCUAUUCAGUUCCUCUUUCUGUCAUUUGUUAUUGGGCCAACUCAAAUUCAGUUAAAAGCUAAAGGAAUUUCAGGCCCUAGGCCUCAAAUCAAUACUGUCCUGUGUGUUGAUGAACUCUGUAUGUCUGUAAGCGUGUGCAAUCCUUCAAAACUCAGGUCAUUCUCACAGUAGAUUGGCUAAUCAUAACGUUAACCAAAAGUUUAUGACCCUCAAGAGACGACUCUCUGAGCCACAACUCCGUUAAAGGCACCAAAAUGCAAUGUGUAUGAAAAAUCAUUUCUACAUAUAUAAUCUCCAAUAUUAUUCAUUUGAGUCAGCGAGACUUUUAACAUCCUCAUAAAAAGCUCUCCUCUACCCUAAA
ensembl:lncRNA